rnacentral:lncRNA from 1 species
AUGCUGUAGGAGUGAUGCCGUACAACCUCAGGAUAGGUGGGAAAAGGCCUUACUGCCUGGGUCUUUUGAGAUGCUUGUCCUAGGUGAAGCUAGACACCAGGUAUGAAGUCCAGCUAUCCGGAGUUGACUGUACUGGAGGGGCUGCGUGUAGGCUCUCUAGUCAACAGCCCAUUCAGCCUAGUUGAACCUUCAGAUACUGCAGCUCCAGCCGACAUCUGGCUGUAACCAAUAGAGAGAGACCUCAAGUGAGAACUGCUCAGCCAUGCUCUUCCUGAACCUUUGACCCACAAAAUCAUGCGAGACUGCCAUUUGCCCCGGGGGGAGUUGUCAGUACCUACGCUUGGCAUCAGUCAGUAAUUGCUUCUGAGACUACUCACAUCAUCAUCCUUAAAACCAUGGCAUUAAUAGGCCAAUAAUCUCUAGAACGUGGGGAUUGGUAAUCCUGCUGCAGUCUAGACUGCUCAUAUUAUGACUGUGAAGGGUGGCAGAAUAUGCCACCCCAAAAUAUGCCACUUUGGCACAAGGAUUAUUUUUGGCUGAAGGCAAUCGAGAAGAAGCAGAUAAAAGAAAGCUCUCUGCUCUCCCCCUAUUUGCCUAAAAGCAGGACAUAAAUUUGUACAGGUGUCCUGCCUCCUAGGAGAGACAGGAGUUAAUCACCAGAGGUAAGGUGAGACCCUUAUCAGCCCAGAGACCAGCACCUGAGGAAAUUACAUAACAAAUUUUGCUAAAACUAGCCCUUAUCUACCAUUAGUUUCCCCAUGUGUUUGCCUUCCCACAAUUUGCCACCCUACAAACUCAAAGUUCUUUUUCUUCCUCUUGUUUCUCUAAAAAUGCAUUGUUCUUUUAUUAAGAUGCUGUAUAAGCCCAAGUUCUUUUUUUUUAAUGGAGGUUUUUUUCUUCAUUGAGAAACUUAAGACUUGGGUGCGUCAAAUAAAACCAAUUUCUGGGGGAAAAAAUCGAAACCCACAGAUUUGCCCUGAGCUAACAUCUGUUGCAAAUUUUCCUCUUUUUGCUUGAGGAAGAUCGCCCUGAGCUAAUAUCUGUGCCAAUCUUCCUCUGUUUUGUACGUGGGCCGCCGCCAUAACAUGGCCUCUUAUGAGUGC